rnacentral:rRNA from 1 species
AGCGAACGCUGGCGGCAGGCCUAACACAUGCAAGUCGAACGAACUCUUCGGAGUUAGUGGCGGACGGGUGAGUAACACGUGGGAACGUGCCUUUUGGUUCGGAAUAACUCAGGGAAACUUGUGCUAAUACCGAAUGUGCCCUUCGGGGGAAAGAUUUAUCGCCAUUAGAGCGGCCCGCGUCUGAUUAGCUAGUUGGUGAGGUAACGGCUCACCAAGGCGACGAUCAGUAGCUGGUCUGAGAGGAUGACCAGCCACACUGGGACUGAGACACGGCCCAGACUCCUACGGGAGGCAGCAGUGGGGAAUCUUGCGCAAUGGGCGAAAGCCUGACGCAGCCAUGCCGCGUGAAUGGUGAAGGUCUUAGGAUUGUAAAAUUCUUUCACCGGGGACGAUAAUGACGGUACCCGGAGAAGAAGCCCCGGCUAACUUCGUG